rnacentral:rRNA from 1 species
AGUGAACGCUGGCGGUAGGCCUAACACAUGCAAGUCGAACGGCAGCACAGUAAGAGCUUGCUCUUACGGGUGGCGCGUGGCGGCCGGGCGUGGUAUACAUCGGAAUCUACUUUUACGUGGGGGAUAACGUAGGGAAACUUAUGCUAAUAACGCAUACGACCUACGGGUGAAAGCAGGGGAUCUUAGGACCUUGCGCGAUUGAAUGCGCCGAUGUCGGACUAGCCAGUUGGCGGCGUAAAGGCUCACCAAGGCGAUGAUCCGUAGCUGGUCUGAGAGGAUGAACAGCCACACUGGAACUGAGACACGGUCCAGACUCCGGCAGUAGGCAACAGUGGGGAAUAUUGGACGAUGGAGGCAAGCCUAAUCCAGCCAUACCGCGUGAAUGAAGAAGGCCUUCUGGUUGUAAAGCCCUUUUGUUGGGAAAGAAAAGCAGCAGGUUAAUACCCCGCUGUUCUGACGGUACCCAAAGAAUAAGCACCGGCUAACUUCGUG